ensembl:lncRNA
AUAUGCGCUGCACCCGCUCAGGAACACACAGGGCUUGGUGUGAGUUGUUGUCGGUUUGUUGUUUUUACGCGUUAAGGGGCUGCGCGUCGCGUCUGGCAGAAAGGAGAACGCACCCUUUACCCGAGCCAGCCAAUGGGGCCCCACCGUGGGAGCCUGCCUGCACUUACUCCACGGGACUGCGGUCAAGCGCCCCCACCGUGCCGGAUGUUAAUCGUUUAUUUUGCGUUGGAUUGCGUGGGCUGAACAAUCCGGACAUCGUGGCCACCGACGUGGACCCCGCGAACCACGCAGUGAGUAACGCGGGGUACUUCCUUCAUGGGCACUGCACAUGUUACACUCUCCCCAUCUCCUCCUGUCGUCUGUUCUUGCCCCUCUAUUGUACAUGUUUUACCGCUGGAGGUUAAUGUGGAUUUGCUGAUGGAAGUGGUAGUUUGUGUUGAGUGGUUUAUCUAUGGGAUCGACUGACUAACGCUGCGGACCGCUACAGCACCGACCACCACACUGGGAAGCGUCCUCUGCUCACUGUGGAAGCAGCAUGGAAGAACUGCAGCAACUCUGAUGGAAACUACAGGACCGCCACGCUGUUGAACACAAACUGUUGUAGGCCUACUACAAACAGAGGCGGUCCCACUCGGUUAAAGAUCUUGUUGUCAAUGCGGCAGACCGCUGGACCUGGACGUCACCUUCUGCAGAUACUUAACUGCCCUCAGGGAAUCCACGGAUAACUUGAAACAUGUCCGACUCCACAUGUCCGAAAAAUCCAGGAUGGAAACUUGUGGAAGGAAGAAAAGUUCUGUUUUUGCUCAACCCAUAACCCCACUGAGCCCUUCUGUGGAAACCUGUCUGACUGACCCUACUGACUGGGGGCCUGUUGUGUGUUUGGUUGGUCUGGUAGAAGGUUUGCUGCUUGUGAUCUGCAAGGUGGUCCUGGGUUAGAUGCGGUGUCUGACUUGCACACCACUCUCCCAAUUCUAUUCUUCUCUUUGCUACUUUUCUACUUUCAAUACACUUGCUGCUGCUGCUGUUGACCGCUGGUGGUGCAAUGUGGUUUUUAUUCGCGUAUGUUCUGUGGACUUUGCAUUUGUAUUUUAAUGAACACGUUUACUGCCCGUUAGACCUCGGAUUGGCAAACCUAAACUCCUUCACUGGCAAAAUGUAGAUGCAACUUAAAUGCCCAAAUUAACACUUCAAUAUUCGUUUUGCGUAUUUCACCAAUAGCUUCGGAACUAGACGGACCUCGUAUAUAAUUUGCUCUUCAAAGAUGCGGUCAGGCGCCCCUCCGUUAUAUAACGUUUUCUGCCCGGUACGAAAUAGACCGACCAAUAGCAACCCUUUAGGCCAUCUAAUGUGAGGUUAGAUAUACGCAACAUGUAGAGGUGUUUCAACAACAAAGAUGGAAGUUAGAACUAAAGACUGUAUAUGCUCACUAAAAGAACGAACGACUACUACUCAAAGAUUUUGAGGAAUAUGUAUUUCUGCAUCACCCGUUCCAAUGCUAUGAUUAGUCGAGGCCUAUCCAAUAGCAUCGACCCAUUUUAUAUCGCGCCCUUUAGACGCGCCCCUUGGAAAUUGAACAACGCAUUUCAACGCAGAGGAUCCAGAAGGAUUUCACAACGAGUCCAUUGGAAGAUAUCAAGGAACAUGAACAUCACCAAUGAAGGAGAGUAACGUUUCCACUUGCUAUAGGAAUUUAGUGAAGCACUAAAUAGUUAAUAAUAAUAAAAUGUGGUCACCAUUUAUUGACUCGUUGGGUAAGACUUGCUUUACUAAUAUAACCGCGUUAAAACUAUUCAUUUACUUUUCUUGUGUAGUUUCCCACUAUUCAUUAAAUGUUUUAUAGAAGUACUAAUGUGUAUAGUUCUAUUAAUUACAUUUUUAUAACAAUUAAUCAUUAUACAGGAUUUGAACAUUUUCUACCCAAGCUCAUGCGUCCCAAAUAAUUUAUGAACAGUGGUUUGUUUUUGUUCAGGAGCGGCUUGUACUCCCAGAGGCUUCAACAGAGAGGGUCUGGAGCUGGGAGCUGCAGGUGGAUGGUGGCCAGGAGCCGUUCAGUCCUACAGGAACGACGGUAGAGGUGAUGGAGGUGCUCGCCAUGAGGUCCGUGGCGGUCGUCUGGAGGUGCUCGUCUGGAGAUCCGUGGCGGUCGUCUGGAGGUGCUCACCUGGAGGUCCGUGGCGGUCGUCUGGAGGUGCUCGCCGUGAGGUCCGUGGCGGUCGUCUGGAGGCGCUCGCUGCAGGUGGAGGGAAGGCCGAGAGCCGUGCAGCCCAAGGGAUGCAGAACGAAGGACUGAGGCGGAGGCCAGCCUGGAGGCGGAGGCCAGCCUGGAAGUCCUGGAUGCGUCCAACCUGGAAGGGGCGGCAUGGAGGGGCCAGGUGGCGGCUCCUCAUCCAAAGGGCCCAGAGGCGGCCAACCUGGAAGGCCUGGAGACGGCGGAGGUCCUGGAGGCGGACGCCAACCUGGAGGUCCUGGAGGCGGUGGGCCUGGAGGCGGCGGCGGCAGUGGCCAUCCUGGAGGCGGACUACCUGGAGGUCCUGGAGGCGGAUUGUGGAGACCAUCCUGGAGGGCCUGGAGGUGGCGUCCACAUGGUGGUGGCCGGCCUGGAGGCAGUGGCCAACCUGGAGGUCCUGGAGGCGGUGGGCCUGGAGGCGGCGGCAGCGGCCAUCCUGGAGGCGGACUACCUGGAGGUCCUGGAGGCGGAUUGUGGAGACCAUCCUGGAGGGCCCGGCGGCGGCGUCCUGGAGGGCCCGGAGGCGGAGGCUCCUCAUCCAAAGAAAUGAGGCGACGUUGCGGAGGUCCAGGCGGUUGGCCCGGUGGAGGUCCUGGAGGAGACGGCCUGGAGGUGGAGGACGGCUGGGGGAUCCGGCGGUGGAGGUCCGAAGGCGGCUCGUGUUUAGACCAACCAGCUCCUCAUCCAUGGAAGGAUUGAAGGAGUCACUGGGGAUGAAGAUCACUGCUCAGGGGCUGACGACCCCCCCUCCUCAUCUUUCUGGAGAAGCGUCCUCAUGGUGCAGGCGGUCAAACCUCCACCUCUUUGAAGAGACCAAGCAGCUUGAUGACUGACUGGUUCCUUAUACUCAGGACCUCGAGCAGAGGAUAGACCUAAGGCCUACAGCGCAGCAGACUAGAGACUCCAUGUGGAACCGGUUCAAUUAAGUUGACCUCUCCUUCAGGCAACUUAAAGGGAGACCAGAUGUGCGGCAGCUGGGUGUCAUGGUGCAGAGACCCAACGCUGUACUGAACUACACCAGUGUGUCCUACUCCCCAUAAACCCUGAGGAUCCCUGGCUACACCAGCACAUUAAUCCACACCCAACAUUAACACACAGUGCACACUCUAUAGAGCUUGUAAGUCCGCCCCUUGCGGCGGGACCUCGUGAGAUCGUAAAAUAUGACUGGGUUUCAAUGGAGAGAAAGUAAAUAUUUUCUCCAUUAUGUUGCACCACAUUUUGGGGGAAGAAUGUUUGAAUCAAUCUUUGUCAUUUAUUUCUGUACUCCAUAUCUGUAAUCCCAGCUGUUGUAUUUUAACACGGUAGCUGGGAACCCUCUUUAUAGGGAGUGACUAGAGGGACGAGGCUGGAAGCAAACCUGAGCCUGGAUCUUAACCUUCUUUCUAAACCUAAUGCCGCAAUUUAACCUCAAAUAAAGUGAGGCCUAAAGUAACUUGACUCUCUUGCCUAAACUCGCUUGCAUAAAACCUGAACUUGCUUGGCUAAACUCGCUUGCCUAAUACCUGAACUUGCUUGCCUAAACUCGCUUGCCUAAUACCUGAACUCGCUUGCCCAAUACCUGAACUUGCUUGCGUAAACUCGCUUGCCUAAUACCUAAACUCGCUUGCCUAAACUCGCUUGCCUAAACUCGCUUGCCUAAAUACCUGCCUAAUACCUGAACUUGCUUGCCUAAACUCGCUUGCCUAAUACCUAAACUCGCUUGCCUAAACUCGCUUGCCUAAUACCUGAACUUGCUUGCCUAAACUCGCUUGCCUAAUACCUGAACUCGCUUGCCUAAUACCUGAACUUGCUUGCGUAAACUCGCUUGCCUAAUACCUAUUACUCGCUUGCCUAAUACCUGAACUCGCUUGCCUAAACUCGCUUGCCUAAUACCUGAACUUGCUUGCAUAAAACCUAACUUGCUUAGCUUGACUCGCUUGCCUGUACUCGCUUGGCUAAACUCGCUUGCCUAAUACCUGUAGUCCCUUGCCUAAAACCUAAACUUGCUUGUCCAAACACGUUACACAAAGUUAACCAUCCAUAAUCUUUAACCCAAACCAGACUUGUCCCUGGGUCGCUCCACUUUAAUUAAGAAGUUUCUUCUUUUACCUCAUCUGCGUUUUGAGUUUCAUUCUUUGAGGGCUUGAAGUGCUUUGGAGGAUAUUUGAACCUUUGUUCGCCAAAUGUUCAGUGUCCUUGAAUGUAAUGUCUAUGGUCUGACGAUAAUCUGACCUCUUCAUGAAGCAGAAUGUGUGUGUGAAUGUUGUCCCGUGAGCUCCAGGCUCUCUGUGGGCCUGUCAACGUCUCUUUAGCAAAAGGUUGGAGAGUGAAAUUCAUUUUUGUGCCAUUUUCAUGUGUUCCUGAGUAUUUCAGACCUGUGGUGUUUCACAUGAGACCUUAAUGGGAACAUUUCUUUUUCUGCCUGCAUACGUAAUGCCUACAUUAGUAGGGUGAUCACUGUUGAUCCCAAUAUUGUUCAUUAACCACCUCAUUCUUGUAUGAUUUUUUGAUUGAUUACAAAUCAUGUAAUUUGAGCAUAUUUGCAAAUGGCUCCAAAUAUCAGAUUGUGUAAACGAAUGAAAUGUAACCUGCUUGAUUUAAAGAAAAUAAAACAUCCAAAUAUUAUAAACCUGUUUUGUGUUGCUCUCUUACAUGUGGAAAUAAAACGCAGAUAGAUAUGUUUAGCUCUGAUUUGCUGCCUCCUUUUGGUGUGGUACUGGGAUUUGUUUAAUAUACUAUUAUCAUUUCCAGGAUAAGUUAAUAACCUAGUAUAGCCUACCCGGAAAAGAAGGGAUAUGAUGGCCAGGGCAGGCUGUUUCGGUGUCCUGUUA